GAUGAACGCUGACAGAAUGCUUAACACAUGCAAGUCUUUGGCGAAUCUGUGCUUGCACCGGCUAGCCAAGGCGGACGGGUGAGUAACGCGUAAAGAACUUGCCCUGCAGACAGGGAUAACAGACGGAAACGACUGAUAACACCUGAUACAGUUGCCGGCACGCAUGUGCCUGGCAAUGAGAAGAGAUGCUGCAGGAGAGCUUUGCGUCCUAUUAGCUUGUUGGUGAGGUGACGGCUCACCAAGGCGAUGAUAGGUAGCCGGCCUGAGAGGGUGAACGGCCACAAGGGGACUGAGAUACGGCCCUUACUCCUACGGGAGGCAGCAGUGGGGAAUAUUGGACAAUGGGGGCAACCCUGAUCCAGCAAUUCUGUGUGCACGAAGAAGGUUUUCGGAUUGUAAAGUGCUUUCAGCAGGGAAGAAGAAAGUGACGGUACCUGCAGAAGAAGCGACGGCUAAAUACGUG
rnacentral:rRNA from 1 species